rnacentral:rRNA from 1 species
GGGAUAGAAUUCCAGGAGUAGCGGUGAAAUGCGUAGAUAUCUGGAGGAAUACCAAAGGCGAAGGCAGUCCCCUGGUCCGAUACUGACACUGAGGUACGAAAGCGUGGGGAGCAAACAGGAUUAGAUGCCCUGGUAGUCCACGCCCUAAACGAUGUCGAUUAGCCAUUGGAAGGACCCCUUUUCCUUUCAGUGACGUAGCUAACGCGUUAAAUCGACCGCCUGGGAAGUACGACCGCAAGGUUAAAACUCAAAGGAAUUGACUGGGACCUGAACAAGCGGUGAAUGAUGUGGAUUAAUUCGAUGCUACGCGAAGAACCUUACCUACCUUUGACAUGGCCAAAGGUCUACCGAGAGGCGGAAGUACUCGUAAGAGGAUUGGCGCACAGGUGCUGCAUGGUUGUCGUCAGUUCGUGUCGUGAGAUGCUGGGUUCAGUCCCGCAACGAACGCAACCCUUAUCUUUAAUUGCUCCUAUUUUAAACAGGCACUUUAAAGAAACUGCCAAUGAUAAGUUGGAGGAAGGUGGGGAUCACGUCAAGUCCGCAUGGCCUUUAUAGGUAGGGCUUCACACGUCAUACAAUGGUUAGAACAAAGAGCUGCAAAUUCGUAAGAAGGAGCCAAUCUCACAAACCUAACCUCAGUUCGAAUUGCGGUCUGCAACUCGAGCGCAUGAAGCCGGAAUCGCUAGUAAUCGUGGAUCAGAAUGCCACGGUGAAUACGUUCUUAGGUCUU